rfam:Ovis aries breed Texel chromosome 18, whole genome shotgun sequence.
UCUCUGGUGGCUCAGACGGUAAAGCAUCUGCCUGCAGUACAGGAGACCUAGGUUCGAUCCCUGGGUUGGGAA